rnacentral:rRNA from 1 species
UACGUAGGGUCCAAGCGUUAUCCGGAAUCACUGGGCGUAAAGCGUGCGUAGGUGGUCUGUUAAGUGAGAUGUGAAAGCGUGUGGCUCAACCAUAUCGUUGUGUCUCAUACUGGCAGACUAGAGGACGGCAGAGGCAAGUGGAAUUUCUCGUGUAGCAGUGAAAUGCGUAGAUAUGAGAAGGAACACCAAUGGCGAAGGCAGCUUGCUGGGCCACCCCUGACACUGAGGUACGAAAGCGUGGGGAGCGAACAGG